UUUUCUUUUUUAUAUAUAAUUAAUAAAAAGUGUUCAAUAUAAAGAUGGCAUUUAUCCUUCUUGAUACUUUUUGCAAUCAUACUGUUAAUUUGUGUAAAAGACGUAUAAAUAUUGAGAUAUUUUCUUGCCAUUAUCAUGUAACCAAUCAAACAGUAUCAUUUGAUAUGUUGUUUUUUUUUUAAUAUUAAGCAUACUUGAACAAGAGGGAAUCAAAUAUACUAAAAAGGUGAAAAUAUUCCUAUACAAGUUGAAGGACAAAGAAAACAAAAAAAUGUUAAAAUGUUGUAAAAUCUAUUGAUUCUAAAAUAUCAUUUGACGAAGUUAGAAAUCAAUAUCAGAAGAAAACAAAAAAAAUACAUAUAUAUCCAGUAAGUUGUUGCCAAGAUGUUCAUUUCUUUAAAAACAUUUUUUUUGUAGAUGGUAAUAUUUAAAUAAUAAUGGGUCCAAGUAAUUUUGAAUAUUUAUUGUAAAUUGUAUUUUUAUAUCAAUUGAUAUCUUAUUUACUUAUCUAUUUGGGUUUCCUUUUAUAGUAAAGCGUAUUUUCAUAUAUAAGUUGAAAUAAGUUCUAGUACAUGUAGUUCUUUUUGGGCUUCCUUUACAAGUAUACAGCUUAGUGAUAGGUGGCAGUUUAUUUUUAUGCUAUAUAUCUUUAUUGGCAUGUAUGUCAUGUAGGUUAGGUACAGUUAGUGACAAGUUUUGUAAAAGUUAUUAUUCUGUUAGGUCAUUUACUCAUCUUUUUUACAAUUUAAUCAUUUAAACCACAUUUUUUUUGUUAAAAUUUGAUACCAUAUCAUGUAUAUAUUUUGUAUUAUGCUGAACUGCUUUACAGCACAUGUUUUCUACUAAUUUUAUUUUAUUCUAAGGAACAAAGUAGAUUGAGAUUAAUUAUUUAACACCUUUCAGAGUAUUUUGUUAAAAAGAAGUAAAUAGAAUUUAUACCAAACCUAAGGAAAUUAUGUCAUGUUUAAGUUUGGUAAAGAGUUCAGAAAAGACUUGUUUCACUGUUGUAUGAGGCUCCCGCAGGGUCAAAUACGACCUGCGACCUAUGGGCUUUUAGAGGGACUUCCGACCUGAGGGCCUCCAUAAACGACCUGCGACCUGUAAAAUUUAGAAAAAACAACCUCCAACCGACUUCCGUCCUCUGUGUUGGGGAAAAAAAGACCUGCGACCUGUACAUUUCCCUUAAAAACGACCUCUCUUCGAAUUUAAAAGCGACCUUGCGACCUGAGGUACCUUGUGGGAGCCUCUUGUAUGUAACAAAUAAAACCAUACCAGAUCAGAUUAGAAAUUCAAAUGUUUGAUUCUGGGUAUUAGGUUGAGAAAUGUAAUCAAUGUAACCACAUAAUAUAUACUGCUGUUACGUUAUAUGUUAGAAAUGCUUAUUUCACCAAUAGCAAACUCAUAUGUUAUCUGUAACGGCAGCUUUGUAAUAUUUGUAUACACUUCAGGAAUUCUAGGGUUAAAAUUUUACUAUGUUAUAUGCAAAAUGUUAUGAAAAUAUGCUAGCUGUGCAAUAGAUGGAUGUAACUUUUGUCUGUUUUUCUUUAUUUAUUGAAUAUUUAGUAAUAGAAACUAAUUUUAAAGUCUAUAAAUAAAUAUCACAAUAUUGAAAGUUCCUUAUUACUUUAAAAAGUUAUAGAUGAUAUGGGUCUUUUUGUGAGAAUCAUUCGUUUUUAAUUUAAUUUAGAUUAUGGGGAUAAGCAUGACACCUUUACAAUAACUCUGUACUGGUUGAUAAUUUAAUCUGAAAAAAAACCAUCAUAUACUCAUUAGUUGUAGUUAGCUUUGAAUUAGUUUUCAGUAACUGCAAGUACUCUUAUAUCCGUACUUUGUUCCCAAUGUUUUUAAGUUAGUUGGUAUGUUUUGCUUAGAGCCAAUAUAAAUGAGUAAAACCAUUUGCAAAUGAUUUUUAAAUGUUCUUUUUAGACUGGAUAUAUUAUGGUAUAUGAUUUAUGACUUUUGAACAGUGGUAUACUACUGUUGCCUUUAUAUACCAAUAUCCAUUUAUUGGUCUGUCCUUCAAACACUUUGUACGAUAACUCAAGUUUGUUUCAUCCGAAUUCUCAUGUAAUUUUAAGACAGAAGAAAGCUACC
rnacentral:lncRNA from 1 species